rnacentral:rRNA from 1 species
AUGGCAUCCCCGCCGCCGUCGCCGGAGCCGGACUGGGCCGGCCUCCCUGAUGAUGCCCUGCUUACAGUGUUCGAGCGCCUGGGCGCGCCGGAGGUGCUCAUGGGCGCCGGGGUCGUGUGCCGCAACUGGCUCCGCGUCGCCACCGGCGAGCCCGACCUCUGGCGCCGUGUUGACCUGUCCGACUGCUUCGACCCCACCAUCGACAUGGUGGCCAUGGCGUGCGCAGCCGUCGACCGCGCCGACGGCCGCCUCGAGCACUUUGCCGCCGACUGUUUCGUCACCGAUGCGCUGCUCUUCUACAUGGCCAAGAGAACUAAUGGGUUGAAAAGCCUUCGGCUAGUUAACUGCAUGAAAGUCUCACACAAAGGCUUGGUUGCUCUGGGCAAGAGAUCCCCCCAUCUGGAGGAACUUGAGCUUACUACCUGCUCCAUCUAUAUUUCAAUGAAGGCUGUUGGCCAAGCAUUCCCACAGCUGAAGCGGCUGCGCCUGAACAACCGGUGA